rnacentral:rRNA from 1 species
UAACAAGCCAAGGAUCAGUAAGGGCUCUUAGCGGAGAAGCCCUGAGAAGGAAUCUUAGACACUAUUCCUAGCUCUACGGGGUGCAGCAGUUGAGGAACUUUUACAAUGCGCGCAAGCGUGAUAAAGCAAGCCAGAGUGUUUAGCUUUGCUAAACUUUUGUCUGCUGUAAAAAGGCAGACGAAUAAGGACUGGGCAAGACCGGUGCCAGCCGCCGCGGUAAUACCGGCGGUCCAAGUCGCAUCCACAUUUAUUGGGUCUAAAACAUCCGUAGCUUGCUUUGCAAGUCUCUUGUGAAAUCUCAUAUCUCAAGUAUGAGACGUGCAAGAGGUACUACAAAGCUAGAGACCGGAAGACGUAAGGAGUACGAUUAAGGUAGCGGUAAAAUGUGUUAAUCUUAAUCGGACUAACAAUGGCGAAGGCACCUUACGAGUACGGAUCUGACAGUGAGGGAUGAAGGCUAGGGGCGCAAAAGGGAUUAGAUACCCCUGUAGUCCUAGCAGUAAACGCUGCUCACUAAACAUCAGUGCCUCCUAGAGAGGCAUUGGUGCUGUAGGGAAGCCGAAGAGUGAGCUACCUGGGAAGUAUAGUCGCAAGGCCGAAACUUAAAGGAAUUGGCGGGGGAGCAC